UUGUAGUAUCAUCCAGAGACGAGAAGAUAGUGGCGAAAUACUUUUCGCAUUGACUGAUAGCUGGUUGUUUUGGAAAUAUAUAGAAGUAUAGCCCUUUUUGGGGCGGGUUCUACAGGUAUAGUUUAUUUUGUGUUACAAAAUUCCGCCCUCUUUUAGGAGAUGGUUCCCCCAGGCUAAGCUGGGGGGGCGCUUAAAAAGGAUGAUUGGUGAAGUUUUAGGUUUACAAGUAGGUUUCAAGGAGCCAUCUUCAUGGAGUGGGUUAUACCACAUAUGGGCCUUUCUUUAAAAUUAUAGUAGGUUUAUCUUUUAGUUGUACGAAACCUUCCCACGAAACUACGUUAGUGGGAGUGAUAAUGUAGAGAUGAGUAGUCGAGAUGGUUGUAGUUAUUUUUUGCUGCGGGGUAAAAAAUAAAAAUGUAAGAGUGCGUAUUGGUAAACAAAGCUUAAGGAACUCGGCAAAAGAGAGGACCGCCUGUUUAGCAAAAACAUGGCUUUCUGACUAACAUGGGGGGUCGUGCCUUCCCGGUGGGUAUACGAGC
rnacentral:rRNA from 1 species